GUGACCGUCGGUGAAUUAUCUCCGGCUAGGCUCGGGCUAGGUCCGCGGGAUAGCGACACGUCCGAAGACAUCUCCCUGCGAUAUUUCGGUGUCCUGAUCUUCAGCACUUUUCUGAACAGACCCCCUUUCACCCUCCUUUUCUUUUGAUUUGUGUUAAGAACAAGGUGAUCUCCAUUAAUAAAGAUUGUUUACUGAACAUCAGUCUUCAAACUUACUAUAGGAUCCUUGGGCCAAAACCGAAUGGAAUCAAAGAUAUGGCGCUUCCAAUUCGGCCCCAUUCCACUGUGACCAUUCCUAUUCUAGAAUUCAGUUUCAGUAGCUCAACACAGUUCUGACAGAGCAACUUUGGGAUGUUGUUUCAUUAAUUUUUGUACAACAACCAGAGAAGAAGAUUGUACCAAAGUUACUCCCCUA
rnacentral:lncRNA from 7 species